UACAGAGGUCUCGAGCGUUGUUCGGAUUCAUUGGGCGUAAAGGGUGCGUAGGUGGCUAGGUAAGUCGGAUGUGAAAUCCCGGGGCUCAACCCCGGAACUGCAUUCGAUACUGCCUGGCUAGAGUACUGGAGAGGAGACUGGAAUUCAUGGUGUAGCAGUGAAAUGCGUAGAGAUCAUGAGGAAGACCAGUGGCGAAGGCGGGUCUCUGGACAGUUCCUGACACUGAGGCACGAAGGCCAGGGGAGCAAACGGG
rnacentral:rRNA from 1 species